AUCUUCGCGCUUGGGGCAAUGACACAGCUAGUUAGGUAAUAACUGAGGCGCGUUAAUUGUUGGUUGAAAACUAUUUCCAAACCCCCUCUCAAUUGCGGGUUGAAAACUAUUUACAUAC